AGCUCCUGGCCCCUCCUUGGGGCGCUGGCGGGGGACACCUGGUCCUGGGCAGCACGGCGCGGGGCGCAGGGACGCAGGACUGCACCGACGCCCGCCGGCGAAGCACGUGAGCCCUGUCUGGUCACAGCGAGAGCACCGUCCUACGGGUGGGCACCGGGUAGCGGUCUCAGAAGGAGGCUGAGUGCUUAGUGUCAACCCCUUCGCCGAACUCCGACCCUCCGUCCUCCGCCGCGCGGCAGCUCUUUGUGUGUUUGUUUGUUUGUUCGUUUCCCCCGAGGUGGACUCUGGGCGCGUGGCUCCCCCCACCUCCUCGUGGAGGGUCCUCCCAGCCGGUCUGUUCACUUAUUUAACACAUUGAAGGCUCGCCGCCCUCCCCUCCAGGUUGUAGGUCCUGGGAGGCUGCGUGGGACAGGCCCGGUCUCUGCUCCCAAGAACGUACAUGGGGCGGGGACAGGAGAAGAAUGAGACAAACACGUGCUCUGCCUGGAUUCUGGGGUCCAGAGCUGGGAAACAGCAACAAAAACAGAUAUCCAGCAGACAGCAUCCUCCUCGGAGCCGCUAUGACGAGCAGACACCCUCCUGACAGCCCAGCGAGAAUCCCUCCAAUGCAUAUUCUAUUGAGUGCAUCUCCCGGCGGCUGACAGCCGCUUUAUCAAUUACAUUCCACGUUCCCCAGCCGUCAGAGACGCCACGGGCCGCCCCACCUAAUAAAUCACAG